rnacentral:lncRNA from 1 species
CUCAUGAAGCCUAACUUAGCACAAUUCCAACAUCAUAUUUACAGUACUAUAUAGACCUUGGAUUUUGAAUCAUUCGAAUUUGAAGCUUACAGGGGAAUAGGGGUGAAUGCUAACAUUAAUUACAAAGAAAUAGUGACUACCAAAUCAGUUAACAUAUGUAAUGCUAACAAAAGAAAUCAAGAUCUAAAAGGGAAAUCCAAUUCUAUUUAAAUACAUUGAAUCCUCAACUUCAUUUGCACAUUUCAAAGCUCAAAAUGUACCUGAAACAACAGAGAAAAUCAAAGAAAACUUCAGCAAAGAAGUUUGAGUGUCAGCAGCUCUCAAAACAGCAGCAAGCAAACAUUUAUCAACCAGCUAACAUCAUAUCUCGAACCCAGAAUGAGAAUUAGCUAGUUACUUCACAAAUUUGUUAAAAACACAGAAAAAAUCACAGAACAGCUUCCUUAAACCAUUUCAAGCCUAGAAUGAAUCAAAUAUCACUUCAAACCUUAAAACCUAAAGAAUUACACAAAAGCUUCAAUGUAACAGUAUUUUGUUAUUUGUUUUAUUUUUGUAUUUUUCUUCUGAUUCUUCGAACUUUUUAAGUGUUUGUAUUUUUCAGCUGUUUCUAAUUUCUAGGAUCUGAUCUCUGCCUAAUUCUACUGAAGGCCAGCCUUAUGUAGGUGGCUUUAGGGCAACAUAACAUAGUUUCAACAUUUAACAAAACUCCAUCCCCAAUUUUUAGUAAUUCCCUUGAGACCUUUUUCUCUACACUAUUCAGUAGUUCACCCCAAAUCCCACAUUCCUAGAAGCUUCCUAAUUAGUUAUGCAAGAUUCCCCUUACCCAAUCUCCCUAAACUACCCCUAUGAUGGCUACUAUUUACUCUGAGAAUUAAACCAUUAGAAAUGAACACUUGGGCCAUACGACCCACAACCCUGUUAUCCUUUUGGUUAUUUGCAAUGGGCUUACUGACUAGGAAACAAUCUGAGGGGGAAGUAAAUGAAUUAAUAUUUUGAAAAACAAAAAUUGCAACUAUGAUUUUUUCAUGCCCUUUCUGAACCAUAACAGAAGAGUCAGCUCCCUUAGCUGACUUAAUUAAAUCUUCUUUCUUCUCCUUUCAAAAAAAAAAUUCCUUGAUCAACAAUACUAACCACGCAUCUAUUUAACUGGGAGCCUUACUUAGCAAAAAGAAUGGGACAAACAUAUGGCCCGACAUAGAAAGAAACUAAACAAAAAUGAAAAUAGAAUAAAAGAAAACUGAGAAGCAAAAAUAAUCGCUCCUGGUCCAAACUCUGAUGAACAGGACUCUUGACCAAUAAUGAAAAUUGCAACACAAGCACUAGCCGGAAAAUUUCCAAAUGGCUAGUGCUUUAUGUCACAAUUUUUGUCAUUUGCCAAAAAGAAAAGAAAAGUGGACAAAACCUUCGAAUCUUUAGGCAGUCGGCGAGGCACAACUCCAGCAACAUCCUCUUAUCGAGGGUUCGAUGUCAAACAUGUCCAUCUUUUGGGGAAAAUCAGAGAAAGGAGAGAAAAGAGAAAAAAGAAAUGGUACAAGGUUGGAUUCUUGGUAAACUUGGAUUUGAGAUUUGGACGGAUUGUGUAGUCUUUGGAUAAAACUAAUGGUGGAUUCGGAAUGAGGAGACAACAGGGGUUAUAUGGUCAAGAUUUGGCGGAGUUUGGAUAUCCGCUGCCACCGGUGGCGAAUUCCGGUGGGUGGUGGGCGGCGGUGAAGAUAAAGAGGCGAGAGAGAAGAUGAAAC